rnacentral:lncRNA from 1 species
CUUUCCAUGGCAACACCCUGAUGGCCGAAAGUUACUACCCUUAUUCCAGAAAUCUCUGCAUAAUCUGUCGGUUUGCAUAUAAUUAACAGUGGCUAUAAAUGUGAGUGCAGCCCUGUCCUGUCCUCAGCUGCUGCCCUGGGCGCACUGCCUUGCGGGUCACUGUGGCUGCUCCUGUGCUUCAGCGGGACUAGAAGCUGCCGCCCACGGGCAGCGGGGAAGAAAUCUGGGCAAAGCCAUGAGCCCUCCGAGGCUGAGCUCCAGUUUAGGGGCUCACCUGCCUUGCAUCGUUCCGAGUCCUGUACUGGACUGCAUCAGGCCGCGUCUCCUCAGGAAAUGGGAUCUUGGUUCCUGGCCAGCACCCGGCCUCUCUGCACCUCAUAGACACUGCAAAUCCUUACUCAGUGACUUCAGGGAUACAGGUUUCCAGGGUCCUUCUCUCGGAUGGAGCCUGUCCAACUGCACUCUGGGGAAGGGAGAGAAACAGGAAGGCGUCGCCUUCACGCUCCGGUCACUCAGGAAGGUGGCUGUGCAUGCCUGAGAGCUUGCACCGGGGUGGAGGUAGCCACGGUCCCGAGACACGCCCUCUGCCCACACCUCCCUACCAGCCUGGCCAGACGCCUGGGGUGCCCAGUCGUCUUCAUGGUGGCAGCUGCAGAAGUAAUGACAACUCAUGGGCAUUUGGAGAACGCACCAGGCCCACGCUCAACAUUGCAUUUGAUUCCUGCGAGCGCUCAACAAGGGAAGCACCAGACAGAUGCUGAAAUUUAGGCAUGGCAGCACUGCUUUGCCUCCCUUGGCAGCACAGGGCUGCAGAAGGACUCAGAAUUGCGGGGAACCCUCUGCCUCAAGGCGCUCCACCAGGACACAGACACCCCCUCAGCGGCCCCUCUGCUUUUUCUUCAGAAUCUGAUACAUCUGGCCUGGACGGGAGAUGGUGCCCUCGGGCGCCAGAGUGUGGGGUCCUCUUCACAGCCACUCCCACCCCAAUUCCUGAUCUUCCGAGUUUCCUGGCUCACAGUGUUCCUUGUUCUCAAACCGCUCGCUUCACUGCUUCCGAUUCAACUUCAUUACCUAAAGUGAGAGAUACAGCUUCUUUCUUUCCCUCUCAGGAUCAAUGACUCGGUUUUAGGUCACCAUGGAGAGGGGAUUCAGAGCUCACGCAUCCGCCACACUUGAUUUCAGGAGAUGAGUGGCUGCGAGUCACCCUGCUGUGAGCCGCCAUGGUCCCCUGGUGAAUUGCCCAGGCCAAACGCCAUGGCCUCACCUGCUCACGGGCAAAGCAGCUGCCAGCUUAAAUGGUAAGAAAUUAGUAAAGGAAGGAAGGAAGGAGGGAAGAAGCCGGAAGGGAGAGCACGUCUCCGUCCCUCGAUGACGGCAUCAGGACACACCACGUCGGAGACUUCAGCUGCCAGAUGAGCACGGCCUAUUAGGGCCUCGUCCGGUCCCCGCUUAUCCAAGGGUGGUUAAGACCAAAUUCCUUCCCCAUAAUUAAACAGCAUGUAGACACAUACAAAAAUACCGCAGAAGAACUACACCACUGGGUCAAAACACAUGCCAGAACAAUAUUUCAUUUUAAAAGACAACAUAAAUGUCAACAUUUAAAAAGCCUGCCACAUAAGGUGAAAAACAAAACCUGUUGUGUACUGACUAGUCUCAGAACUCCUUGGCAGUUUUAUCUUUUCCAGAAAACUCUGUCUUCAAACCCCAAGACCUGUCUCCUUGUGGCAUCCUCCACAGGCUUGGUCUACAGCAUGCAUCCUCAGGGGAUUCUUCCAGGCUUACCUGGCCACGAUCCCCAGCACAGAACAGCUCAAGAUCACCGUCUACCCCCAUCUGCCAGAGCAAAUCUAUUUUCCACCAAGAGCAGGACUGUCGGCUGUCAGUCACCAAGGACACCCAGGUUGAUAGUUGGAGGCGACCAGCACAUUCUGAUGAAGUAGGUGAUGGUGCCUGCCCCAGGACCUGUGUGCACUGCAACAGGCAGCCUGCAGGGCGUGUGCCAGAGGCCAGGGCCUGAGCAACAGACACAGCGCUGCCCAGUGGGCCCUGCACCCUUGCAGUGAGGGGCAGCCUCAACCAACGAAAACACCACACACUAAGUCCUAGUUUCCAUCUAAGAAGUGUUUUCUGGAACUUUAAGCAACAUUUUAUUUCCACAGAUGUGGGGAAAAGGGAACCCUAUGGUGCAUAAUUAUUAACUUACUUUAGGGUCCUGUUUCUGGACUCAGUGGACUCAAGUGUAGCCAGGUCCAAUCUGUGCACUUGCCUCUGGAAUGUUCUGCCAACACCCUUUCCCCAGUUUUGCUGGGGAAGGCUGCAGGCAAGGAGAGGAGGCUAUUCCUGGCCCUGACCCAGGAGGAGAGACGGGAAAGGAAUGAGCAGACUUGAGCUUAAAUUUUCAUUGGAAGUAUUUAAGAAACACCUCAUGUUGGUCCUGGUUCUCUAUUAUUUCUCUCUAUUAAAAAUACCACCCCAAGUAAUCUGUACUCACUAUAGAAAAACUGGAAGUAAAAGUAAUAAUUAAAAAAAUCCCUGAAGCCAUAACUCACUCUUCUAUUACUAUAGUCAGCAUUUGCUGUGCCUCGUCCAACAAGCUGGGGUCGCCUCAGGAAAGAAGACUCUACCGUGCCCACUGCCCUCCCUCCAAGUCCUCCUCCUGUGGCGUCCCUCGUCGGGUAGUGCUGCCUUUUGGGAAGUCACUCUGGGUGGGGGUCUCCACCCUCCUGGGAAGUCUCCGGAACAGAAAGCAGGAGACACCGGCGCAUCCAGGCCCCAUCCCUCCCCGAAUUCACGGGCAGCCAGCAGGGGGCGCCACAGCAGCGCAGCAACAGGCACCCGGUUGCCGGCAUCACCGGCCCACGCUCGUUCCCUGUGCAUUUUGUUUAAAAUUUUUGAGAGAAAAUUUACAUAACAUAAAAUUAACCAUUUUAAAGUGUACAACUCAGUAGCUUUAGCGUGUUCACAAUAGAGUGGAACCAUUACCGCUAAUUACAGCACAUUUCCAUCACCCUAAAAGAAAAAGUCCGUUUCUCCCAAUGCCUUCCUCUCCUCAGCCCCACACCCAUUAAUCUACUUUCUGUCUCUGUGGAUUUUCCUGCCCUGGACACUUCAUAUAAAUGGAAUCUUACAACACGU